rnacentral:rRNA from 1 species
CGUAACAAGGUUUCCGUAGGUGAACCUGCGGAAGGAUCAUUAUUGAAAUAAACCUGAUAGGUUGUUGCUGGUUCUCUCGGGAGCAUGUGCACACUUGUCAUCUUUAUAUAUCUCCACCUGUGCACCUUCUGUAAAUCUGAAUAUCUUUCUGGAAUGCCUGGCAUAUUCAGGUUUGAGGAUUGAUCUUUUUCUUUCCUUGCAUUUUCAGGUUUAUGUUUUUCAUAUACCCCAAGUAUGUUAUAGAAUGUUAUCAACAGGUCUUUGUGCCUAUAAAUUAAUACAACUUUCAGCAACGGAUCUCUUGGCUCUCGCAUCGAUGAAGAACGCAGCGAAAUGCGAUAAGUAAUGUGAAUUGCAGAAUUCAGUGAAUCAUCGAAUCUUUGAACGCACCUUGCGCUCCUUGGUAUUCCGAGGAGCAUGCCUGUUUGAGUGUCAUUAAUAUAUCAACCUCUUCAGCUUUUUGCAUGUUGAGUGUUGGAUGUGGGGGUAUUUUUGCUGGACUCUAGAAUCUGAGGUCAGCUCCCCUAAAAUGUAUCAGCGAAACAAUUUGUUUACCGCUCAUURGUGUGAUAACUAUCUACGCUAUUGACGGUGAAAGCACGUUUAGCUCCUAACAGUCCAUUAGCUUGGACAACCUCUUAUUAAUGUGACCUCAAAUCAGGUAGGACUACCCGCUGAACUUAAGCAUAUCAAUAAGCGGAGGAAAAGAAACUAACAAGGAUUCCCCUAGUAACUGCGAGUGAAGCGGGAAAAGCUCAAAUUUAAAAUCUGGCAGUCUU